rnacentral:rRNA from 1 species
UACAGAGGUCUCAAGCGUUGUUCGGGUUCAUUGGGCGUAAAGGGUGCGUAGGUGGCGCGCUAAGUCGGGUGUGAAAUCUCGGAGCUUAACUCCGAAAUUGCAUUCGAUACUGGCGUGCUUGAGGACUGGAGAGGAGACUGGAAUUCAUGGUGUAGCAGUGAAAUGCGUAGAGAUCAUGAGGAAGACCAGUGGCGAAGGCAGGUCUCUGGACAGCUCCUGACACUGAGGCACGAAGGCCAGGGGAGCAAACGGG